GGUUUAAGUUACAAGGUUCGGUAUGGGUUAAGGUUAGGGACUAGAGCUCUUCACGGAUCCACCUGUACCCAAGACCCGAGUGGGUCCAGAUUCAGAAUUCUAAAUAAUGUCACGGGUCUGGGUCAGAUCUGAUAUGAUUGUCAUGGAUGUCAUCUUUUAGAAGAAAACAAGCUACGCUGGUUUACAGAGACCUGACCAGAGGCAUGAUAUCAUGUACACUCCUGGAAAACAGAAUGGAAAAUGCUGCACACUGCUGCUCAUGCUCCCAGGUGAUAUUUAUUUACAACUUUUCAACCCUUAGGUCUUCAUCAGGCAUCCAUAUCCCAGGAUGGAAGGUCCUAUUUAUAUGGGCAGUACUCAGUGACAUCACUUCCUGAAACAGGAGGUAAAAAAUGUAUAAACUCGUUUCACAAUAUUAAUAUUCAAUGUAUCAAAAUAUAUGAUUGUACACAGAGAAUGUGAUCAAUAUUUAUAGUAAUAUACAUACACAUACAAUAUUCAAUUAGAAUAAUAAAAAAACACAAUUUAGAAUUAUUGAAACUAUAAAAACGGUUUCAAGUCAAACUCCUCGUUAAGGCCACGAGUUCAGGCUGUGGAUCCAGAAAGAUUCCUGUUGAAGAAGUUUCCACUCAGUGUCCCCUCCCCCGCGUGACAUCUUGACCCUUUGUAUUCCAAUGUAUCUCCGAGAACUAAUAGGAUGUCCAGCUUGUACAAAAUGAGCAGCAACCAAAUUUUUUGUUCUCACACCUGUCCGUAUGUUGCUGCGGUACUCACUGAUCUGUGUCUUUAGGCUUCUACUGGGUUUCCCUAUGUAAGACAACACCCAAAGUCGCCGGAGCAAGACAUGGUAAUAAACCUGUCCAACAGGUCUAUAUCUGAUACAUGUUCAUCUGCCCUAGGUAAGGCACGAUCAUUUGUCCCAACAUCACAGGCCAAUGACUUUGAUACAGUUACAGACUUUCAAACAUUUUUUUGCGUAGUUUGAGAUUAACUACAUUUUUUUGGUAAUGGGGUUGCUCCCUAUGUACCUGCCAAUAUUCAUCUAUUGAACGAUAUUAGCAACCAGACAGGAAACUGAAACAAGUGCUAAUGUUUUUCCAAUUGAUAACCUCAAAUGACAAUGAACUUGACUCUCGCCCCGAGGACAUGACGAGGGAAAAUACAUAUUUCAAGAGGAAAAGCACAUUUUUUGACCACCCAAAAUAAAUCCCUCUAUUGAAACAUAUUGCCGCCUAGUUGAGAAAGAUGUACAUAAUCUCCUGGCUAAGAAAAAAAUAAUACAAGGUAUUCCACAAUAUGUCCAAAGCAGAGAAAUAAUCUCUUAUGUGACUGAAAAAUGACUCCAGUAUCAUUAUAAAACCUGCCGACAAAGAAGGUGCAAUAGUGAUCCUAAAUGCAGCAGACUAUGCAAAGGACAUUCUGAGACAAAUUCUGAGACAACUUAGUGAUGCUGACUCCCAAAGUACCCUACUAAUCAAUUAAAGUCUCUGAUCCAUGAUAUAUUGUCAACCUUUUUGAAUGAAGGGGAAAUUACAAAGACAGAAUAUGACUAGAUUGAAGUUGACUGUCCAACCGCACCUGUCAUAGACGCUCUACCCAAAAUUCACAAGAUCAUGACGCCACCUAUACCAGGCAGGCCCAUUGUGAGCAGUAAUGGAUCUCUGACAGAGAAUAUCUCUACCUUUUGUAGACCAUUUUGUGAAACCCUGGGCGAUCUCCCUCCCGACGUAUACUAGAGACUCUAUUGAUUUUAUACAUUUUUUUUUAAAUCUGUGGACUAUAUACCUGAAAAUUAUAUUUUGUGUAUUUUUGAUGUUACCAGUCUAUAUACACCCCCAUCAGGGCGGCCUAGAGGCCCUCAUGUUCUACCUCAAUGAAAGUCCCCCUAAUGCUCUACCCAGCACCAAUUGUAUUGUGGACAUGGCUGAACUGGUACUAACCUCCAACUAUUUUCUCUUCAGAGGAGACUUCUUCUUCCAGACCAAAAGGACAGCGAUGGGGAGCACUAUGGCUCCUAAUUAUACUAACCUAUAUCUAUGAAUGUUUGAAAAACAGGUGGUGCUGAAUCUAGACCUUAACCCUUUUCUCUCCAAUAUUCUCCAAAUUCUGAGAAAUUUGAAUGACAUUUUCGUGAUCUAUACUGGGACCCAGGAAGAACAUUUGGAAUUCCAUGCUUAGCUAAACUCUAUGAAUGAACACCUUCUCUUCAGCAUUAACUAUGACCAUUCACAAAUCAAUUUUCUUCAUGUGAUGGUUAAUUAAGGACAAAACACCCCUCUCUACAGUUCUCUAUGGGAAACCUACGGACAAGAAUACCCUCCUUAGAGGUGUCAGCUUUCAUCCACAUCAACAUAAAGAAAUGUAGCCUAAUUAUUAAUUCAUAUAUUUAGUUAACAUUAGACAGUUAAUCCAGAGAUUCUUACCUACGCAUCGAUUCGGCAGUCUCGCACCAGAUCAUCAUGGCAUUUGUAGUUCUUUAUGAUAGCCACAUUAGCAGCUAAUUAGCAUUUCAUUUUUGGGGGGUAAAUACAUGCGAAUAUAUUGAUAAAAGUCAGCUUGUCCUAGAGAGAUUUACACAGUUAUCAAAAUGUCACGUUAGGGUAACCCUACAUGAAACACAGCCCUUAUUUUAAGUGUUUCUAAAAUCUAUGGGAAAAAUUAAUGGUGGAAAAACUAUUAUUGGAACCAUUUCCCUGUUUGACCUCUUGAGUUUUAUGGGUAUUAUGACUCACACUGUGGUACUCUAUAGUCCACUUAGUAACAGUAAAAGGGCUCUCCAAACCUUUCCUGGAGAGAUACCCUUCUGUAGGUCUUCGCUACAACCCCAGUUGUAACUAAGCCGAUUCAGCUUAUCAACCAGCUAAUUAUUAGAAUCACGUGUACUAGAUUAGGGUGGCUGCAGUUCUGCAGCUGUGAGCUGGAACCUGGGGCUGACUAUAUUCAACCUGUUUGAAAAUGAUCAGGACACCGCAAGUGCCCGUGAGAGCCAACAACCUCAAAUCGGUAUGUGAUUACACUUUACGAGCUGCGGCGUUACAUUUUACUCAGGGUUUGCUCCGAUUUCCUCCGACUUGGAAAAAUACGCCAAGAGCGGAUCGGGAGCCAUAGAUCAGAAGUGCCGGGAAGUCGGGAAUGAACGAGUUCAGACUGGGAAAAUACGUUUUGAAAGGUCAUCGAACUCGUAAUUCUAAAUCUUUCUCUUUGAUGACAACAUUUAUCCACGAAGAAUUGCUGCGCCACCCUGUUCAAGUGAGCACAUCACAACAAGGUGAGUCCAAAAAGGUCUUAUAUGCUGCUGCAUAAAUUAUGUAAUAUGCCAGGGAGAUAUGUAUACAGUAGCUAAGAAACAAAUACUAAGUGUAUGUUGUGUAUGAAGCUGUUAGUAGCCCAUGUGCCUCAUCCUAAUAAUUUGGCCUAUUUUCACCUCUUAAUUUUGCUUAACGUUACUGUUUCUGACUCGGUGGUGCACAUGUAGCCUAUAACCUGUUUUUUGAGCAAUGUCAUCAUCUAAUAUUGUAAGAGCUUUCAUUGUCUGCUUAUAUGCCCCCUUUAUGUAUCCUAUGAUUCUGACUUGGUGUACAGGGAAUGUUCUGCAUUCUGUCACUGUACAUUUCAAAAGUGCUGAACACAUAGUUAUAUUGACUACGUAUGUCUUAGUUCGCUCAUUAAUGUCUUAAUCGAAAUUACGGAAUGCCUCUUAUCCGCUCAUCAUUCCCUUAUGCCAUCUCAAUUGUCAGUAGAAACCAUAUUUGUUUAAACAAGUCAGCCAUAUCAGCUACGUUUUUUAAAAAGGCAGUAAAUGAGGCUAAAUGAAGCCAGACAAGGCUCUGCUGAUAGCCAGGUGUAGCGGUGGUAAGGAUUCACUCCAUUGUGCUGGAAAGAAAGCUCUGCUGUUGGGACAGCUUUAUGUAGGCCCUAAGAGUUUGUGGGCACCACUUGUCACCAUUAUAGUGCAAUUAAUGUAUUGUUUAGUGUUGUGUUGUGUAGUGGUCUUUGCUGCUAUGCACCUAAAAAAAUGUCUUUUGAGUUUACCCCACCACGAUUUACAUGCUAAAAUCGCCACUGUGUACAGUCAUUGUUUAAAGUCUCAGUAAGCUAAUUUGUGAUACAGUGAAGGUUAAUACACAUAUAGGUGAAUUUGUCCCAAUACUUUUGGUCCCCUAAAAUGGGGGGACUAUGUACAUAAAGUUCUGUAAUUUCUAAACAGUUCACCCGAUAUGGAUGAAAAUACCCUCAAAUGAAAGCUGACAGUCUGCUCUUCAAUUAUAUCAUUGCAUCAUUUCAAAUCCAAAGUACUGGAGUACAGAGCCAAAACAACAACAAAAAGUGCCACUGUUCCAAUGCUUUUGGAGCGCACUGUAUGUUAGCUAUAAUGACACAUUAGAUCAUGUAUUGAAUAUUUAACCACCCUGUAGUGACAUUCAUGAAUGGCUUGAUACAGUUUUAUGAAUGGCUUGAUUACGGAUUUCUCCAUACCCACUUUGAAGUAAUGGUUUACACAAAAAUGCAUGAAAUAAAUCCUCUUUACUCUGAAUUGUUUUGACAUUUACAAAAACAGUCCCAAUCUGAUGGUGGACACCACAUUUGCAGUGCCAGCCUUUCAUGAUUAUGCUUACAAUGGUGACUGGCAGAUAAUUACAACUUGGGUUUUUUUCUUGAUCAUUUCUUCUUGUUAUACACUGCUGCUUUGUAUAGUUGCAGACCGUUGCCCUGACGGUAUUCAUUAACAGCUAGUUGUAAUCUGUCCUAGAUCCUUAAUUAAACAUCACCCAUUGUAAUGCUCAUUAUGGUUUCUGAUUGUACUUUACAUUUCAGGUCACAGAUGGUACCAGAUAUGUGACUGGUAGCAGGCUUGCUGACAGAGAACAAGUGAAGUUUGUGGUCUUACCUACAAAAGUUUGGGAAGAUCACAAAAGAGAUGACACCAGCUCAUCGUGUUGACACCCUCAUUGAUUCCCUCCUCUAUUACUUAGCCAGGAUCAGGGCAAGCACUGGAAACACAACUCUGGCGGCAGAACGUCCUGAAGGAGGAAACCGAGGCAAAGGAGGAGUUGAUGGUGCUGCUAUAGGCAGCAUUCCAGGUUAGAUUCCAUGUGUUUUGCUCAUAUCUUUUGUUUAUAUGUAAUGAUCCCUUUCUCCCAAUUCAAUCGGUUGAAUAUGUCAUAGGCAGCACACUGUCGGACGUAGAAAGUUUGAACCCGUCAGAUAAAGGAGACCCUCACAGGCAAGAGGAUGUUGUCCCUGAUACGUGGAAACUCUCGCCCAGCAAGUAGUUGCUACAUCGCUGACCUAAGGUUUUAUCCCAAUCUAUAGACACCCCUUUCUGUCUGACUUAGCCCUGCCAUUCAUGACAGACACGUUCCUAUAGCCUACUGUGCGCUGUGUCCUGGUCCCAUCAUCUCUUGGAUCUGCAUAGCUACUCCCUGUUGCUUUAUACUCUGAUCACCACCUCCUGCUAUCACCUGCCAUUUUCCACUACAUAUCCCAGAAACGUAAGUGCUCCCUCCCUUGCUUCGUAAUUUCGUACCUGUAAACGGGUUGAAAAUAGCAGAUUUGGGCACUAAUAAGAGCCUAAAUUGUAACAUAGUGGCUAUACAGUAACAUGCUAUUGUCUGCUAUAUGAUGUCAAAGCUCAGGCUCUGAGAUUCACAGCUCUGUUUUGACUGACAGUCGUUCUGAACUUGAGCACUGCACGCGGCAAGCAGUCCCCCCCCGGUAAUUAGGCAACUUUUGCACAUUUCUUGUUGUCUGAGUGGGGGAAAUGCUUUAAAAGAAAAUGACUCGAUGUAUUUUGAAAGAUAAGACGUGGAUGAUAUAAUAAAUACCACUUCAUACAAGCAUGCCAAACACCCGUGAGUCCAAAAUUGCACUUCACAUUUCCAAAUCUUAAAACUCAUGUCAUAUACUGUGUCAAGAUGACAUGGGUGGUUCUGAACAAAAUGAACCUACGUGGCACACCGUAGGCCGUGGCACACCGCAGGCCGUGGCACACCGCAGGCCGUGGCACACGCACCUGCAACUCAUGACUCCUUUCGAUGCGCGGAAAUACAACUAUGUUGUAUUUUUGUGUUUGGACUGGUAUGGUUCUCAAUCAGAGGCAGCCGUCGAUCGGUGUCUCUGAUUGAGAAUCAUACUUAGGUAGUGUCACGUUCUGACCUUAGUUCCUUUGUUUUGUCUUUGUUUGAGUAUGGUCAGGGCGUGAGUUGGGGUGGGCAGUCUAUGUGUGUUCUUCUCUAUGUUGGCGUUUUGAGUUCGGCCUAGUAUGGUUCUCAAUCAGAGGCAGCUGUCAAUCGUUGUCCCUGAUUGAGAAUCAUACUUAGGUAGCCUGGGUUUCAUUUUUGGUUGGUGGGUGUUUGUUUCCGUGUGAGUGUUUGGGCCACACGGUACUAUUUCGUUUUUCGUUUUGUUCACAUCGUUUAUUGUUUUGUAUUUCAGUGUUCAGUUCGUUUUGAAUAAAUCAUCAUGAACACUUACCACUCUGUGCUUUGGUCCGACCCUUCUUCCACCCAAGACAACCGUUAUAGGUAGCCUGGUUGUGGAUGAUUAUUUUCUGUGUCAGUGUUUGCUCCAUACGGGACUGUGUCGGUUUCCAUUUAUUCUCUUAUUCCUUUGUUUUCUGUGUUCAGUUAUAUUUCAUUAAAAUUAUAUUAUGGACACUUACCACGCUGCGUAUUGGUCCGAUCCUUCCUACUCUUCCUCAGAAGAGGACGAAAACCGUUACACUGUUUGAAAUGGUAUCGUUUGAAUUAGAUAUUAUUCCUGUUUUCCCAAGUUAUUUUUAUGGAAAAUGGUAUUGUUUGAGUUAGAUUAUAUUAUUAUAUUGUAUUCCAGUUAUGAACUAUACUGAACUAAAAUAUAAACGCAACAUGUAAAGUGUUGGUCCCAUGUUUCAUGAGCUGAAAUAAAAUAUUUCCCAUGUCCACAAAAAAGCUUAUUUCUUUGCACAACUGAAGAAUUUCUGCACAAACUGUCAGAAACUGUCUCAGGGAAGCUCAUCUGCGUGCUUGUCGUCCUCACCGGGAGGGACUGCAGUUUGGUGUCAGAAAAAUAAGUGUUCAGUAAAAAAUAGAUAUGUAAAAAAUAAAAGUAACAUAAUUAAAGAGCAGUAGCGAGGCUAUAAAGAGUAACAACAGUGAGGCUAUAAACAGGGGAUACCGGUACAGAGUCAAUGUGCAGGGGCAUUGGUUAGUUGACGUAAUAUGUACAUGUAGGUAGAGUUAAAGUGACUAUGCAUAGAUAAUAAACAGAGAGUAGUAGCAGCGGUCUUAUGUCUUGGGGAUAGAAACUGUUAAGAAGUCUUUUGGACCUAGACUUGGCGCUCCGGUACUGCUUGCCGUGCUGGUAGCAGAGAGAACAGUCUACAAUUUUUAGGCACCGCCUGGUAUAGAGGUCCUGGAUGGCAGAAAGCUUGGCCCCAGUGAUGUACUGGGCUGUAUGUGUAGCAGUGUGAUGUUGUUCCCCUAGAUUAUGCACCAAGUUGCACACAAGGACCAAUUCAAAUAGGUCAGGUCAAGAGGGGAUGGUAAUAAUUUGAUAAUAAUAAUUCAGUGUAUUUUUUUAUUUUUUUAUUACAGCUGCAUAGCUAAUGUUUUUCUUUGGCGUACAAACACUUUUUCAUAUUAAUAUUGUACAUACAUUUUGAGUUUUGUAUAUUUUGGUUUGGACCAUCGCGGGUUAUCUGUAUUUCCGUACCCCCUUGGUGUUCUCUUUUGCCUGACCUUCGGCUAGCAAGGUAUGUUGUCCUUGGCUCCCAAAUUGUUUAAUAUAAAACUGUCAUAAUGUUACACAAUGUACUGUUAUGCUACCAUAAGUUUGUUACAAUGUGGAUAAUAUAAAGAUUUAUGUUAACAAGUUUCACAAAGCUCGCUAACUAGGGUAUCUAUUGUAACUUGUGAGUACUUGGGAUAGUGUUUGAGUGAGUGUCCAUGUGCUUGCGCAGGUGCCUGAGAGCUAGGACUGCGCCAAGGGUUAACAUAAUGUGUGUUGUCUCUUCGUGUGCAGGGUAAAUAAAAAGAAUUCAACUAGCAGACCUUCAGUUGUGGCAUCGUCCUAAUUACAAGUACACAACCCAGAAUGAACUACGCUACAUACGCACUACCUUCUGUAAUGCGUUGCGGAUGGAGGCCGAGCAGUUGCCAUAACAGGCAGUGAUGCCCUCGAUGGUGCAGCUGUAUAACUUUUUAGGAUCUGAGGACCCAUGCCAAAUCUUUUCAGUCUCCUGAGGAGGAAUAGGCUUUGUUGUUCCCUCUUCACGACUGUCUUGGUGUGUUUGGACCAUGAUGGUUUGUUGGUCAUAUGGACACCAAGAAACUUGAAGCUCUCAACCUGCUCCACUACAGCCCCCGUCGAUGAGAAUGGGGGCGUGCUCGGUCCUCCUUUUCCCGUAGUCCACAAUCAUCUCCUUUGUCUUGAGCAUGUUGAGGGAGAGGUGGUUGUCCUGGCUCCAUACGACCAGGUCUUUGACCUCCCUAGGACAGCCAUUGAAGAGGAGUGGAACAACAUCCACAGAUCAACUCUAUGCUAAGGAGAUGUCUAGCUGCAUGAGGCAAAUGGUUGUCACACCAGAUACUGACUGGUUUUCUGAUCCACGCCCCUACCUUUUUUAAAGGUAUCUGUGACCCACAGAUGCAUAACUUUAUUCCCAGUCAUGUGAAAUCCAUUGAUUAGGGCCUCAUGUAUUUAUUUAAAUUGACUGGUUUCCUUAUAUGAACUGUAACUCAGUAAAAUCUUUGAAAUUGUUGCAUGUUGCAUUUAUAUUUUUGUUCAGUGUAAUUUGCUCAUCCGUUUUGACAUAGAUGUUAUUUUAUGUAAAUAUGUUGUGCUAUGGUCCAUAUUCUAGCAUUUACUUGCUGACUGUGUUACACUACUGUUGCUAACAGUUGUUAUGGAAUUAGUGUAUGGUUUACAUUGGGAAUCUAGAACUUUACCGGUAACUAUUGUGUAAUAAGAUCCAUUACAAAUGUAUAGUCCUUGUAAUACUGGAGUCCUGAUUUGUGUGGGGCUGGACAGGGUCCGAAUCAGAGGUGACACACACAUUCCCUGUCCACUGACUUGUCUGUCCACCGCACCAUAAUAUGCACACUCACACGCUUACACUCACACGCUCACUUUGUUUGUACUCAUGUUACAGCCAACUCUUAUAUUAAUUGUUUUUAAUACAAUAUUUCUUAUGUAGUUCACUGUCAUUUAUUCAUGAUCUUUAACUGGUUAAAUGUUUGUAGUUUGAAUGUUUCAGUGAUGAUUAACAUGUUUAAAUAGUUGUAAACAUCUCCUUGAUUUAGCUUUCGGUAUAUUUGCACUUUUUAAGACCGCAAUAGUUAAUCAACACACAAUUAUUGUAAAUAAAUGGACACUACCUGUUAUGAAAUGGAAAUCGAUGUCCGAAAAUAAAUGCUGAGAAAUGAUCCGUCUGGACUCCGAAGCCAUUCGGCUAUGGGUUUCAGAGCCCCGUGAUAAUUAUACAAUUUAUAUUCGCUUAAAAGGGCUUUAUUUACAACUCUGGGGUAUAACAUGUUUGGCAAAGUGGUAUAGGAGAUUCUGACAUGAAAUAUAACCCUUGAACCCUAACUUGAGUUCAGUCUAAGCCAAUGAGAACCAAGAGGGGUCUAGCUUCGUGCCUGCCUCCACUGAGUGACAACGGCUGCAACCUGUCCUAGUAGCCCCCUUGCGUGGUACUAACACUAUAUCUUACCCCAAUACAGUAGUGGUCGUCAGUGAGGUGCACAGCUGCAGGUUUCUGUCCGUCAUGACUGGGAAGGGCCUAGGUUCUAGGCCGUAGAAGAUCCUACAGCGAUCUCGUUAGAUCAGAACUGGAUUGAUCAACAGUGAUUCGUAAUACUGGUUUGCAUCCUAAAAAAAAAAAGGAUAGUUAUGUUUUGCUGCAUAACACAUUCUUUUUUUCUACCCAUAUGAUGUGGAUCAUUGUCAGGUUAUUGGAUGUGUCCGUUUGAGUAACAACAAAACACCAUGGUUGUAAUAACUCUUUUAACAGGUAGUUUGUAAAUGUGUAGAAUGUGUUUGUUUUGGGUCAUCACUGGUAAAUGAAUUGAUGUAAAUUAGACAGUCAGAUGAUUUUCUGAGUAACUGGUCAGGGCAUAGUACUUUCCAUUUAGCUUCAGGCAACUUUGAUGUAUGGUUUGAUCACACCUGUAGUGACUACUUUACCAGUCAGGCCCAUUGAUUGUGAACAAUGGAUAAGCAACAAUGUAAUUACACCAAACACAAAUGUUGACAAAAUGUUUUUUUAUUCAAAAACUAUUAAUUGUGAUAUGUUUGUUUAUGUAUGACUGAAAAAAAAAACAAGAUACACAAUAAUAAAGUGAUAAUUGUGAGGAAAUACUGUAUGUUCUUCAUAAUCAAAGACAAAAUACAGGUUGACUUGUUGUCUACAUUCACAGUACACUUUGAUGUGUUUUGAAUAUGGGGUCUGCAUUGAAACACCUCCAGUUCACACAUUUACCCAAUUUCGAAUUCAGGAUUUACAUUGUACAACUUUCUACGCCAGCAGAAAUUCUGGUUAUUAACCAGGUUUCCAUUCAAACUUUUUAUGCAAGUAAAGUACAUGCUGGAUAUAAAAAAUGUCAUGACCUGAUGGAAACAACGUAUUUCCAAAUGUCGACAAAACAAAAUACGCUAGACAAUGUGAGAUAUUUUUGUGUCAGUAAAAUACAUUUUGUGAGAAAUGUCAGUGGAAACACUUUUGUGCACAAAUAUUGAUACAAUAACCAUCAUAUUGAAGUCUCCCGGUCCCUGCCGCUGGAAAACAUCCCCACAGCAUGAUGCUGCUACUACCAUGCUUCACCGUAGGGUUGGUGCCAGGUUUCCUCCAGACUUGACGCUUGGCAUUC